GCGUCCGUAGUUCAGUUGGUAGAGCAUCACUAUGACAUAGUGAAAGUCAGUGGUUCAAGUCCACUCGGACGUA
rnacentral:tRNA from 1 species